CGGUUCUACCAUAUAAACACAUACAAAGCCUCUCUUUGGAGCUGCACAACAAGGCAAACAAUUGAAAAUGGAGGGUGAUCUAAAGAAGAAGCUUCUAGGCACAAAGAAAGCAUCAGAAGAGGUAGAAGAAGAAGAAGAGUUAUCAUUGGGGAAGAGGUUGUGGAAUGAAAGCAAGCUAAUGUGGAUUGUGGCGGCACCAGCCAUAUUCACUAGAUUCUCCACUUUUGGGAUCAAUGUUAUUAGUCAAGCAUUUGUUGGUCAUAUUGGCUCAAAGGAAUUAGCUGCUUUUGCUCUUGUUUUCACUGUUCUCAUAAGAUUCGCUAAUGGUAUUCUGUUGGGAAUGGCAAGUGCAUUAUCAACACUUUGUGGACAAGCCUAUGGUGCAAAAGAGUAUGGCAUGAUGGGAGUGUAUCUACAAAGGUCAUGGAUAGUUCUAUUCUUAACUUCACUCCUUCUUCUUCCCGUUUUCUUCUUCACAAGCCCAAUUUUGAUCCUCCUAGGCCAAGAAGAAAGCAUAGCACAAGUGGCAGGAACCAUUUCUCUUUGGUCAAUUCCAGUCAUGUUUGCUUUCAUUGUCUCGUUCACUUGCCAAACAUUCUUGCAAUCUCAAAGCAAGAACACCAUUAUUGCAUUCUUGGCAGUUUUGUCAUUGUCUAUUCAUUUAGUCCUCUCUUGGCUUUUGACAAUAAAAUAUGAGUUUGGGAUUGCUGGAGCAAUGACCUCAACAAGCUUGGCAUACUGGAUUCCCAACAUUGGUCAACUUUUAUUUGUUGCAUAUUGUUGCCCUGUAACUUGGAAUGGUUUCUCAUUUUUAGCAUUCAAAGACCUCUGGCCGGUAGUCAAACUUUCCCUUUCAUCUGGUAUCAUGAUGUGUCUUGAACUCUGGUACAAUACAAUAUUGGUUCUUUUGACAGGUAAUAUGAAAAAUGCUGAGGUUGAAAUUGAUGCUCUAUCUAUAUGUCUCAACAUAAAUGGAUGGGAAAUGAUGAUAUCACUUGGUUUCAUGGCUGCAGCAAGUGUUCGAGUAGCGAAUGAGCUUGGAAAAGGAAGCGCCAAAGCUGCAAAAUUCUCUAUUUAUGUGACAGUGCUUACAUCGUUCACGAUCGGGUUCCUCCUGUUUUUAUUUUUCCUAUUUUUCAGAGAAAGACUUGCUUAUAUAUUUUCCUCAAACGAAGAUGUCGCCGCAGCUGUUGGGGAUUUGUCACCUUUGUUAUCAGUUUCUAUACUACUAAACAGUGUUCAACCUGUACUUUCAGGAGUAGCAGUUGGAGCUGGUUGGCAAAGCACUGUAGCUUAUGUAAACAUAGGGUGUUAUUACAUUAUAGGUAUUCCUGUAGGUAUUGUACUUGGUAAGGUUAUCCACUGGCAAGUCAAGGGGAUUUGGAUUGGAAUGUUGAUUGGAACAUUGAUUCAAACUAUAGUGCUAACUAUAAUCACUUAUAAAACUGAUUGGGAUGAGCAGGUCAACAUAGCUCGCGCACGUAUUAGCAAGUGGUCCAAAGUGGAUAGUACUGAUCAAGAAACAGAAACUAAAGUUAUCAGAUGACUAGUUUCAGGGUCAUCAUUGGCAGUCUAUGUUGUUACAUGCAAGGUGUUGAUAGAUAGCAAUUGAAUUUGAUUCAGAGAGCAAUUCACAAUGAGAAACUCGAGUUUAAAGAAAAGGCCAGGGGACCUAUGAAGUGGUUGAUGGUAGAGGCAGGCUGCCAUUUAAUUAAUAAAAUGCAUUUUUAAAGUUAUUUUUCAUUCACAUUUCAUUUCUUUUUUUUUCAUUUCUACAUUUUUUUAUUAUCUUUUUCUACUUUUCCUAUCACAUCACAUUAAUAUUUCAUUUCUCUCUUUUAAUU